UGGGGAAUAUUGGACAAUGGGGGCAACCCUGAUCCAGCGAUGCCGCGUGUGUGAAGAAGGCCUGAGGGUUGUAAAGCACUUUAGGAGGGGAAGAAUAGGGGGAUUCGAAUAGGGUUCCCUGAUGACAUUACCCUUGGAAUAAGCACCGGCUAACUCUGUGCCAGCAGCCGCGGUAAUACAGAGGGUGCAAGCGUUAAUCGGAAUUACUGGGCGUAAAGGGUGCGUAGGUGGAUUGGUAAGUCGGAUGUGAAAGCCCUGGGCUCAACCUAGGACGUGCAUACGAUACUGUCAGUCUAGAGUGAAGUAGAGGGCAGUGGAAUUUCUGGUGUAGCGGUGAAAUGCGUAGAUAUCAGAAAGAACACCGGUGGCGAAGGCGGCUGCCUGGACUUCAACUGACACUGAGGCACGAAAGCGUGGGGAGCAAACAGGAUUAGAUACCCUCGUAGUCCCUGAGCGGGCUGGCAAGGCGCAU
rnacentral:rRNA from 1 species